rnacentral:rRNA from 1 species
GACGAACGCUGGCGGCGUGCUUAACACAUGCAAGUCGAACGGAAAGGCCUCUUUCGGGGGGUACUCGAGUGGCGAACGGGUGAGUAACACGUGAGUAACCUGCCCUUGACUUUGGGAUAACUUCAGGAAACUGGGGCUAAUACCGGAUAGGAGCUCCUGCUGCAUGGUGGGGGUUGGAAAGUUUCGGCGGUUGGGGAUGGACUCGCGGCUUAUCAGCUUGUUGGUGGGGUAGUGGCUUACCAAGGCUUUGACGGGUAGCCGGCCUGGGAGGGUGACCGGCCACAUUGGGACUGAGGUACGGCCCAGACUCCUACGGGAAGCAGCAGGGGGGAAUAAUGCACAAUGGGUGGAAGCCUGAUGCAGCAACGCCGUGUGCGGGAUGACGGCCUUCGGGUUGGAAACCGCUUUCGCUCAUGACGAAGCUUUGUGUGACGGUAGUGGGUAAAGAAGCACCGGCUAACUACGUG